rnacentral:tRNA from 1 species
GCCUAGUUAGCUUAGUAGUUAGCGCAUCUGCCUUGUAAGCGCUAGGCCGCGGGUUCGAUUCCCGCCCGGGGCG